rnacentral:rRNA from 1 species
CCUACGGGUGGCUGCAGUGAGGAAUAUUGGUCAAUGGCCGAGAGGCUGAACCAGCCAAGUCGCGUGAGGGAAGACGGCCCUACGGGUUGUAAACCUCUUUUGUCGGGGAGCAAAGCGAACCACGUGUGGUUCAUUGAGAGUACCCGAAGAAAAAGCAUCGGCUAACUCCGUGCCAGCAGCCGCGGUAAUACGGAAGGUCCGGGCGUUAUCCGGAUUUAUUGGGUUUAAAGGGAGCGUAGGCCGCAUGUCAAGCGUGCUGUGAAAUGUCCGGGCUCAACCCGGGCCUUGCAGCGCGAACUGGCGUGCUUGAGUCCGCGGAAAGCAGGCGGAAUUCGUCGUGUAGCGGUGAAAUGCUUAGAUAUGACGAAGAACCCCGAUUGCGAAGGCAGCUUGCUGCAGCGGAACUGACGCUGAUGCUCGAAAGCGCGGGUAUCGAACAGGAUUAGAUACCCGUGUAGUC